rnacentral:lncRNA from 1 species
CCACAAAAUCCUUUUGAAGUCUUGGAAUAUAUCCACCAGUCAAAGGAAACCGAGAAGGUGAUUAGAAAGCAUUGGUUAGAAAAAGAUACUUGCAAAUUCAUUUUCUCACAUGCUGAUACAUUUCGUUUUGGCAGGCUUGAUUUUUAUAAAGCCUUGGACUAAAAUGAAAACAAUUGAAUUGGAAACUUUGUAUCACCCACUUCAGGGAAUAUUACAACAGCUUCUACUAUGGACUCAAGUGCAUUUAAAGGAAAUAUAUUCCCAGGAAUUCAAAGCUCAUAAAGAGAACUGAUGGUGUAUGGUGUAGAAGACUGAACAUUUUUAUUCUGCAGUAAACAGAGCCUUGAUCACCAAUGAAUAAGAACUUCUUUUUCUACUCAAGAUUUGUUCCGAGUGUUGAAUGGUUUCAAGGGGGAAAUUAGACAGCAGGAAUUGAGGACUGAGAUUUGAAUAAAAAAUGCAUUAUCCAAACA